rnacentral:rRNA from 1 species
GACAGAGGUGCCGAGCGUUAGGCGGAAUCACUGGGCUUAAAGCGUGUGUAGGCGGAUCGUUAAGUACCUUGUGAAAUCCCAUGGCUCAACCAUGGAACUGCUUGGUAUACUGGCGGUCUUGAGCCAGCUAGGGGCUACCGGAACAAAUGGUGGAGCGGUGAAAUGCGUAGAUAUCAUUUGGAACGCCAAUGGUGAAAACAGGUAGCUGGGGCUGUGCUGACGCUGAGACACGAAAGCCAGGGGAGCGAACGGGG